UUGAGUUUGAAUCCCCCGCUCAGAUUGAACGCUGGCGGCAGGCCUAACACAUGCAAGUCGAGCGGUAGCACAGAGAGCUUGCUCUCGGGUGACGAGCGGCGGACGGGUGAGUAAUGUCUGGGAAACUGCCUGAUGGAGGGGGAUAACUACUGGAAACGGUAGCUAAUACCGCAUAACGUCGCAAGACCAAAGAGGGGGACCUUCGGGCCUCUUGCCAUCAGAUGUGCCCAGAUGGGAUUAGCUAGUAGGUGGGGUAAUGGCUCACCUAGGCGACGAUCCCUAGCUGGUCUGAGAGGAUGACCAGCCACACUGGAACUGAGACACGGUCCAGACUCCUACGGGAGGCAGCAGUGGGGAAUAUUGCACAAUGGGCGCAAGCCUGAUGCAGCCAUGCCGCGUGUAUGAAGAAGGCCUUCGGGUUGUAAAGUACUUUCAGCGAGGAGGAAGGCGUUAAGGUUAAUAACCUCAGCGAUUGACGUACUCGCAGAAGAGC
rnacentral:rRNA from 1 species